GGCAUCGUUCACUGUAAAUUGUAACCAUCAAAGCGUUUUUUAUCAGAGCCGCUUGGUGUUACUUCUUACAGUGAGUGAGCCA
rnacentral:pre_miRNA from 1 species